GUUCUCCGGAUAUUUUCUCUCACCAAAAAUCCUUGCUGGCAUUAACUGGUGCUUAGUGGUUACAUGGCAUAAACCACCUAGGUACUUCAUUGUGUGGCAUUAAUCAAUGCUUAUGUGGCAUAAUCGGUGCUUUUGGUGAGAUUUAACAGUCAGAAAGCCAUGUUCCCAGUACGUAUGUCGGGAUGUUUUGAAAAUUGGAAAGCCGUAUUUCUUCCUCGAGUCGCAUGGUCUCGGAAACCCUAUUUCCCCUUUCUUCUUUGUCGGUCCUUCUUCCUUCAUUUGCGUGAUCCUCCAGCUGAUUAAUUUCCAUAAAUAGAAAUUCACCUGUUUGGAUUAUCGGCUCCUAUUAAUCGAAUACUUCCAACAAUGGUAAAGAAAGGGUUUGCUUUUGUGGGCUUAGGGCUCAGAUGUGGGGUACUUGUAAUGAUGGAGGAUGUUUGUAAUGAAUUUAAGCUAAAAUGGAAAUGAAAUCAUUUUGUAUGCCUAAUCUAUGAAAUGUUUGUAUGAAGAAUUGAAAAAUUGAAAAAAAAUUCAAAUGUUUGUAAUCUAUGAAAUUGAAAAAUCGAUGUAAACAAAUGUUUGGUAUGCAGAUGCUAUAUGGUGGCUAUUUGGAAACUACUGAGACUUAUUAGAAUAAUUUCUGAAACAUUGAGGACUAAACGAAAACAAUUCAGAAACUAUAAGGACUAACAAGAUCCACUAUAAAAGUUUUCCAAUAGAUUAUAAUCUCAACACAUUAUUCUAAACUUUUCCUAUAAAAAUAAUUAUACUGUUAAAAACUGUCCACCACAUGAUAAAUUUAAUACAUUAAGAAAAAUUUGAAAAAAUACAUUUAAAAAAGUACAGGACCAUCAAUACUUAUUCCAACACUUAUUCACAAUUUUCAAAAGGUAUAAGACCACCAUUGACAUCUAUUCCAAUACUUACAAGUUGCAACCCCAGCACCAAUCAUCCUAACUCCAGCACCAACCCUCCCAACACCAAUAGCAGCCCUCCCACCACCACCAGCAGCCUUCCCAGCACCAGCACUAGCCC
rnacentral:lncRNA from 1 species